rnacentral:rRNA from 1 species
UACGGAGGGGGCUAGCGUUGUUCGGAAUUACUGGGCGUAAAGCGCACGUAGGCGGCUUUGUAAGUUAGAGGUGAAAGCCCGGGCUCAACUCCGGAAUUGCCUUUAAGACUGCAUCGCUAGAAUCGUGGAGAGGUGAGUGGAAUUCCGAGUGUAGAGGUGAAAUUCGUAGAUAUUCGGAAGAACACCAGUGGCGAAGGCGACUCACUGGACCACAACUGACGCUGAGGCGCGAAAGCUAGGGAGCAAACAGG